rnacentral:lncRNA from 1 species
CUCGUAUUGAUGGCUUUGGGGUCUCUCGGGAUAUUCGUAUGUGGGGCUCUGUGGUAUUUCGUACUUAGGACUCUGAGGUUGUAAGGCAAACGUACGAUCGUUAGCGUAGACAUACUCGUAUUCGUGCCGUGGUUUUGGUAUUGCGUAAAGUUGUGAUUGAUUCGGCGUUGGUUGGGAAUUGUUGUUUGGGGGAUUUGCAGAUUCUGCCAACUCUUCAACCACGGGUGAAGAAUUUUCAUCUGUUACUUGAU